GCCUCCGUGGCUCACUGGUCAUGAGCUAUGGAAGGCCCCUUUUCGGGGGGGGGGGGGGGGUUGUCGCUAGUUCGAAUCCAGCCGGAGGCA